rnacentral:rRNA from 1 species
UACGUAGGGUGCAAGCGUUGUCCGGAAUUAUUGGGCGUAAAGGGCUCGUAGGCGGUCUGUCACGUCGGGAGUGGAAACUCGGGGCUUAACCCCGAGCCUGCUUCCGAUACGGGCAGACUAGAGGUAUGCAGGGGAGAAUGGAAUUCCUGGUGUAGCGGUGAAAUGCGCAGAUAUCAGGAGGAACACCGGUGGCGAAGGCGGUUCUCUGGGCAUUACCUGACGCUGAGGAGCGAAAGUGUGGGGAGCGAACAGG